AGGUAUCUAGAGCUGCCACCUAUGCCACACCCAACAUCAACUAUACUCUUGGGCCAUUUACUACGCUCCUCUGACCAUUCACAAACAAAAACAAAAACAGAUGAGAAAGUGUAACCAUUCUGUGAGCAUGUAACAAAGACAGUGGAAGCUACUCGGCUAGCAUGAGUGGGAUUGUAGAAAAUGAAAAUACCAGAAACAGAGGCAAAGCGAAGAGACUCUUGGAUCAUUCGGAUCUGAGCAGCACGAUGAUCCGAAAGCGAAACAGUGGAAUCCGAGUCAUAAAAGCCAUGGUGCAUGUGGUCGCCCCAAAUGUUCUCCCA